GAGGCUGCCUUUCAAACUCUCAGCGUGUCGCUCUCCUCCCUCUACUCCGAGCCUCCCCCAGACGCGCCUCCGCCUGCUCCCAGCGCUCGCUCUCCCACUCCCCUGCCCUCUCGGCAGGCAAGGGAGGAAAUGACGUGAUGUUAUUUUUGUGUCAGCAGAUGGGAUCAGAGCGGAUGGAGAUGCGGAAGCGGCAGAUGCCCGCCGCACAGGACACACCAGGCGCCGCCCCAGGCCAGCCCGGAGCGGGGAGUCGCGGGUCCAACGCAUGCUGCUUCUGCUGGUGCUGCUGUUGUAGCUGCUCGUGUCUCACUGUUAGAAACCAGGAAGAUCAGAGGCCCACAAUAGCUUCCCACGAACUCAGAGCAGAUCUUCCAACCUGGGAAGAAAGCCCUGCUCCUACUCUGGAAGAAGUCAACGCCUGGGCUCAGUCAUUUGACAAAUUAAUGGUCACUCCA
rnacentral:sRNA from 1 species